UACAGAGGUCUCAAGCGUUGUUCGGAUUCAUUGGGCGUAAAGGGUGCGUAGGCGGCGCGGUAAGUCGGGUGUGAAAUCUUGGAGCUUAACUCCGAAACUGCAUUCGAUACUGCCGUGCUUGAGGACUGGAGAGGAGACUGGAAUUUACGGUGUAGCGGUGAAAUGCGUAGAUAUCGUAAGGAAGACCAGUGGCGAAGGCGGCAUCCUGGACCAAUUCUGACACUGAGGAGCGAAAGCCAGGGGAGCAAACGGG
rnacentral:rRNA from 1 species